rnacentral:rRNA from 1 species
GAUGAACGCUGGCGGCGUGCCUAAUACAUGCAAGUCGAGCGAACGGACGAGAAGCUUGCUUCUCUGAUGUUAGCGGCGGACGGGUGAGUAACACGUGGAUAACCUACCUAUAAGACUGGGAUAACUUCGGGAAACCGGAGCUAAUACCGGAUAAUAUUUUGAACCGCAUGGUUCAAAAGUGAAAGACGGUCUUGCUGUCACUUAUAGAUGGAUCCGCGCUGCAUUAGCUAGUUGGUAAGGUAACGGCUUACCAAGGCAACGAUGCAUAGCCGACCUGAGAGGGUGAUCGGCCACACUGGAACUGAGACACGGUCCAGACUCCUACGGGAGGCAGCAGUAGGGAAUCUUCCGCAAUGGGCGAAAGCCUGACGGAGCAACGCCGCGUGAGUGAUGAAGGUCUUCGGAUCGUAAAACUCUGUUAUUAGGGAAGAACAUAUGUGUAAGUAACUGUGCACAUCUUGACGGUACCUAAUCAGAAAGCCACGGCUAACUACGUGCCAGCAGCCGCGGUAAUACGUAGGUGGCAAGCGUUAUCCGGAAUUAUUGGGCGUAAAGCGCGCGUAGGCGGUUUUUUAAGUCUGAUGUGAAAGCCCACGGCUCAACCGUGGAGGGUCAUUGGAAACUGGAAAACUUGAGUGCAGAAGAGGAAAGUGGAAUUCCAUGUGUAGCGGUGAAUUGCGCAGAGAUAUGGAGGAACACCAGUGGCGAAGGCGACUUUCUGGUCUGUAACUGACGCUGAUGUGCGAAAGCGUGGGGAUCAAACAGGAUUAGAUACCCUGGUAGUCCACGCCGUAAACGAUGAGUGCUAAGUGUUAGGGGGUUUCCGCCCCUUAGUGCUGCAGCUAACGCAUUAAGCACUCCGCCUGGGGAGUACGACCGCAAGGUUGAAACUCAAAGGAAUUGACGGGGACCCGCACAAGCGGUGGAGCAUGUGGUUUAAUUCGAAGCAACGCGAAGAACCUUACCAAAUCUUGACAUCCUUUGACAACUCUAGAGAUAGAGCUUUCCCCUUCGGGGGACAAAGUGACAGGUGGUGCAUGGUUGUCGUCAGCUCGUGUCGUGAGAUGUUGGGUUAAGUCCCGCAACGAGCGCAACCCUUAAGCUUAGUUGCCAUCAUUAAGUUGGGCACUCUAAGUUGACUGCCGGUGACAAACCGGAGGAAGGUGGGGAUGACGUCAAAUCAUCAUGCCCCUUAUGAUUUGGGCUACACACGUGCUACAAUGGACAAUACAAAGGGCAGCGAAACCGCGAGGUCAAGCAAAUCCCAUAAAGUUGUUCUCAGUUCGGAUUGUAGUCUGCAACUCGACUACAUGAAGCUGGAAUCGCUAGUAAUCGUAGAUCAGCAUGCUACGGUGAAUACGUUCCCGGGUCU